rnacentral:rRNA from 1 species
AUUGAACGCUGGCGGCGUGCCUAACACAUGCAAGUCGAGCGGUAACAGGUGUAGCAAUACAUGCUGACGAGCGGCGGACGGGUGAGUAACGCUUGGGAAUCUGCCUGAUAGUGGGGGGACAACCCGGGGAAACUCGGGCUAAUACCGCAUACGCACUACGGUGGAAAGCCGGGACCGCAAGGCCUGGCGCUAUCAGAUGA